rnacentral:lncRNA from 1 species
AACCUUCUGGGUUCUUGUUUUCCAGGAGAAAGGGCUCACUUCAUCCGGCCAGGUGGAACUUGAUGACACAUGAUCCCACACAAGAAUACACCGAACUGAGUCUUACUGAGGAUCCAUGCUGGAGUGGACUGGAGCUGAUGUCAGGAGCCUGUGCUGUCUCCAGAGCGUGACUUGCUACCUUUACCCUGGUCCAACGCAUACAACAUAACUUCUGUUCCUGGUCACUGAUCUCCGGGUUUCUGAGAUUCCAGAGUGAUAUGCCUUGGUGUCUCUUUCUUUAUGCUUCGUGUGUCUGAGCUUCAGUGAACUUCUAAGAACUAAGGCUUGUCCAGGAGCACUGACCAGCUAAGCUCCUAGUUGCCACCAAGAAUAGCUGUUCAAACAGUCAUCCUUCAGGCACAGGAAAGCUUUAGUAAGGAGAAAGAAGAGUGUGCCUCUAUCCAUGGCUGGUGCAUCUCCAAAUGAUUUCAAUUUAUGAUGCUAUUUUAAUACAGAAAAAUAAACGAAAACACAAGCACAUUUGACAUUUGAAAUUAUGCUGAUUGGCUGGCAUAUUUUAAAACACAUCAAAUAAAGACAGGCAUCAAUGUUUGAC